UCAAACUUGGUCAUUUAGAGGAAGUAAAAGUCGUAACAAGGUUUCCGUAGGUGAACCUGCGGAAGGAUCAUUACUGAAUAAAAUCUGGUCUGGUUGGGUUGUCGCUGGCCUCCUGGAGGCAUGUGCACACCCUGCCACCACCACGUUCAUCCAUACCUGUGCAUCUCCUUGUAGGAUCAGGAUUUGUAUCACCAUUUCUUCAAACCUCCCUCCCCUUCUUCAGGAGGGGUUGAGGGAAGGAGAGGGGAAGUGUUUUUGGAAUCUUUGCUGUGUUACGCAUGUUGACGGCUUUUCCUGGAUGCAUAUCCCUGGCCCUAUGUCUUUUUUACCAAACCCUGUCAAUACACCUUGUGUGUGUGUGUACUUUUGAACGCAUGUGAAUUAUAUUAUAUCUGUGUGUGUACAACUUUCAACAACGGAUCUCUUGGCUCUCGCAUCGAUGAAGAACGCAGC
rnacentral:misc_RNA from 1 species